AUUGAACGCUGGCGGCAUGCCUUACACAUGCAAGUCGAACGGUAACAGGUUGAGCUGACGAGUGGCGAACGGGUGAGUAAUACAUCGGAACGUGCCCAGUAGUGGGGGAUAGCCCGGCGAAAGCCGGAUUAAUACCGCAUACGACCUAAGGGUGAAAGGGGGGGAUCGCAAGACCUCUCGCUAUUGGAGCGGCCGAUGUCAGAUUAGCUAGUUGGUGGGGUAAAAGCUCACCAAGGCGACGAUCUGUAGCUGGUCUGAGAGGACGACCAGCCACACUGGGACUGAGACACGGCCCAGACUCCUACGGGAGGCAGCAGUGGGGAAUUGUGGACAAUGGGCGCAAGCCUGAUCCAGCCAUGCCGCGUGCGGGAAGAAGGCCUUCGGGUUGUAAACCGCUUUUGUCAGGGAAGAAAUCCUUUGGGUUAAUACCUCGGGGGGAUGACGGUACCUGAAGAAUAAGCACCGGCUAACUACGUG
rnacentral:rRNA from 1 species